ACUAGAUGUACCUUUGUUGGCAAAGAACGUCUCUGCUUUUUAAUAUGCUGUCUAGGUUGGUCAUAGCUUUUCUUCCAAGGAGUAACGGUCUUUUCAUUUCAUGGCUGCAGUCACCAUCUGCAGUGAUUUUGGAGCCCCCAAAAUAAAAUC